AUAAUUCCUAUCUGUACAUGUUGCUUCAGUUUGUCCCUGGAGGAGAAAUGUUCUCUCAUUUGAGGAGAAUACGUUGUUUUAGUGAGUCUCAUUCAAGGUUCUAUGCUUCACUGUACCUCCACUACUUAGACAUUGUCUAUUGAGAUUUGAUCCUGAAAAUCUUCUCAUUGAUCAGCAUGGCUAUGUUAAAGUAACUGACUUUGGACUUGGACCCUUUGUGGUACUCCUGAGUAUUUGGCUCCUGAGAUCAUCCUCUCCA